GGGUCCGGGCCACCUGUGCUCGCACGAGAGCCGAGCCUGGACGCAGGAAGGCGCCCACAGCAGCCCUGGCCCCCGAACCCGGUCCCUUCGGACCCAGCCCCUUGGCAGCCGUGACGCGAAUCGCUACGGCCCCGAGGUCAUCCGAGGUCAACCGAGGCAAUAACCAGGAGCAUCAUUAAUUCCUGAGGCCUCAGUGGCUCAUUUAUCUCUGAUAUGCACGGGCAUCAAAGGAGGGACUUGUAGCUGGUGUGCACCCUGUAUCUUUCACGUUCCACGGUGGCCUGUAAGAGAUGAGUGAGGACGCAUGGAGCCCCCACUGGAACCCGGGACUGCCCAGCUGUACCAGGAAUCGGAUCAUUGUAGGAAUACAGAUAUGGUAGCUGAGCUCCAGCAGUCAAUUCUGAGACUGGCAGAGAAGAAAGAGUGAAGAAAUGGGAGUGCCUGAUGACUCUGUGAAGCCACGAUUCCAGCCCUGGACUGCCAGAUGUCUUAGAAUCCUUAGCUAUUUAAAUUACUGUUAUUAGAAUUUUGUGCUGUGGGCAACCAACCCAAAUCCUACAUAGUAUAAAGAUGUUCAAUGAGA